rnacentral:rRNA from 1 species
UACGUAGGGUGCGAGCGUUGUCCGGAAUUAUUGGGCGUAAAGAGCUUGUAGGCGGUCUGUCGCGUCUGCUGUGAAAAUCCGGGGCUCAACCCCGGACUUGCAGUGGGUACGGGCAGACUAGAGUGUGGUAGGGGAGACUGGAAUUCCUGGUGUAGCGGUGAAAUGCGCAGAUAUCAGGAGGAACACCAGCGGCGAAGGCGGCGCUCUGGGCCGGUACUGACGCUGAGGAGCGAAAGCGUGGGUAGCAAACAGG